CUUACGGUACCUUGGCUUGGAAACAUGCGCAAAGGCAGCACUGAUUGCGCAUAAUGGACGUCGGAGUGGAAGCCCCGUAGAACUGGGGGCGGGGCUUGGGCGUUUUUGCUCUCUUCCGAUUGGCUGCAAUCUGGGUGUCACGAAAAAUUCCCGGGCUUGUGCACAUUGUUUGGAGAAUGCGCAGCGUGUAUGAGAGGGACUAACGACAUAAUUUAAUGAUUGAACGGAUUUAAGACGGUAAUCCACGCGUCGCUGUGGACGGGGAGGACCGGAGGACGCCGUCAGCCCCCCCGGCGGUGACAUCCCGGCUGCUUUUGGGGUGCUGAGGGACGGCAAAGCGAGAGAACAGCACCUUCCUCAAGACAACGAGACCCACUGAGCUUCAUGGCAGCAGUAGUGUGGAGAUGAUUGAGAUGAGAUGGAUGUUUGAGCUGAAGCUGAGGCACAACAUGUUCUUCAAACAAGUGAAGUGCAACCUUCCCACUGAUUCGGCUGAAUGCAGUUGGGAACUAAAGAGAUCUGCUGGUGUUUA
rnacentral:lncRNA from 1 species